ACCGACCUCCCGCCCCCGCUGCGCGCGUUUCUGGCCCUGCCAGUGUCUCCGCCGGUUGAAAGCGCGUGUCUGCGUCGGGUUCUGUUGGAGUGCGUUCGGUGCGCCGUGGGUCCGCGCUGCUUCCACCCAACUUCCUGUUAGUUUCUCUCCUGUCACAAUGGCAUGAUCUCGGCUCACUGCGACCUCUGCUUCCUGGGUUCAAGGAUUCUCCUGCCUCAGCCUCCCAAGUAGCUGGGAUUACAGUUUCCAUCAUUAUCUUCUAUGGAGUUCUUCAUUCCCACAUCUGUGGACCUUAAAAUCCUACCGUUGAGUGCCUGCCUUGGAUCAGCAGUCAGUUCGUUACCUUGGUUCUCAGACGAUGCUUGCAACAACGCCAUGCGAUUCGCCCACUCUUGGGUAGGUGGAGACAUUGGGGCUCAGGUGUGGGUAAGUGAUUGUGUGACUCCUUGUUAAGCGGCAGAACCGGGACUCAAAUUCACACAGAUCUGAUUCCAAACCCUGUGGCCCUAAGCAUAGUGUUAUUAGACAAUAAGCCCUCUGCAGGGAGAUUUCCAGUGCUGAUGGCAGGGUCUGUCAUGAAGGAGGACUCUGCUGAAUUUUUCUUUGAACCCCAGGAAGUGCCUGGCACAGUUCUCUGAAGAAAUUAGAAUGCAGCCAGUGGUUACUAAAGAAAUGAAUAAGUCAAGUAAAUGGACAGAGCUGUGUGCUAAGAGUUCUUUUGGGACACAGAAAUGGGUCAGAAUUGGAAAUGUCCAGAAAAUACUCUUGGAUAAUUAUGAAAGCUACAUAUAGGAGCUCAGGUUUAACUCCAUAUGAAAUGAAGAGUCACAAAAGAAAAGGAGGAGGAGCGUGUUCAGGCGGAACCUCAAGCUUGAGAGUGCUAUGAAAUAUGUUUGAGACUCAGAAAACAGUUCCUGAAAGAAAUGACACAUUAAUGAAUGAAGGUAUAGUUAUUUGGAGAAAAUGAACCUAGAUAUAAGAGUAACCAUAUCAAAAUGUGUUUCUUUAACUGCGGUCUUCAGAACCUAUGAGGUUCAUUGGUAUAUUCUUGGGAACUAUGUGUGUUUGAGAAACAUAUUUCUGGCGCCAAACUGACAGUCACCUCAAAUCCAUCACAGCACUUAUGAUGAAUUCUUUUCAAGUUAAAUGCUGUAAAGAAAAUACUUCUCUUUUUUACUGUUAAUUCACAAUUUAAAAGUGUUUUCUUACUGAACUACAUGUUGGUCCCUCAGAUAAGGAUUUCUCGAGUCUCAGGUCUUUGGGGUCUUUGAGGAGUGUGACUUCUCAAAUUGGAUGACACUGAUCUAACUGGCUGUAGUAUCCAUUCAAGCAUGAGGGAGGUCAGAGCCUGGGAAAGCUCAGGUCCAAACAGCUCUUGAAAGAGGACGUUGCAGGGCAGGCUGCUUUGCACAAAGGGACCUGUAGACACUGAGAACAUCAGUAUACCAGGAACCAGCCCACCCUUUCACUCUGCCAGACAUGAGGCUGUGGGUUACCCAUCUUUCCCUGUCUCCUGAACUCAUAGCAAAAACAAAAAACUUCACUUGUUUGUUAACACAUAUAGUUCAAGACGGAAGGGCCUACACUGAAGCAGAAAGGAUUGAGGUUUAUCAGCAUCUUCGCUUUGAGGCCUCAUAAUGUACUUCCCAUGGACUAAAGUUGUUCACUUUCUUUAGAGGAUAUUAGCUAAAGAUGUGGUAAAACCACAUUUUUGCAGAAAAGUGAAUAUUCAAAAACAAAUGUAUAUGGUGA
ensembl:lncRNA LINC01128 long intergenic non-protein coding RNA 1128